GUUUUCCGGCAGCAUGGUAGUAUUGAGAUAGCUAUGUGUGUCUCUGUAUAUGCUGAUGUUUAGGAAUGCUCUUCAGAUGUGAAAUUUUCUUUUUGUUUUUGCUUUUUGGCUCGUAAAUUGGAUAUUUCAUCUGGAGUGGACAAGUACAACAGUGGCAAGUACAUGGAAUAAUAAAGAAGACUUUGAUCUUAAAUCUAAAGAACUUGGCUAAUUCGGGAGAUAGCCAUAUGAAAACUUUAAAACAGAAGUAUGGGUAGCUGACUUGAAGUAACUCUAUGUCAAAUAGUCGUAGGUUAAGUAUCUUCAAAGAACUUCGAUAUUAUUUCAGAGGAUACAAAAUAAAAAUACAAACUGGAAAAUAAAGAUUACAGAGAAAAAACCAACACCUUCCUGUGCAGUCCUGUUGGAAUUUGGACUUGCCAUGAGGUGUUGAAGCCUUGUUUCACUGAGUUGGAGAGACUGGACCUAAAUGGCGCAGCAUGACUUUGCUCCAGCCUGGCUUAAUUUCCCUACUCCACCAUCAUCAACAAAGUCGUCAUUGAAUUUUGAGAAGCAUUCUGAAAACUUUGCAUGGACAGAGAAUCGUUAUGAUGUGAACCGUCGACGACACAACUCUUCAGAUGGCUUUGAUUCUGCUAUUGGGCGUCCUAAUGGAGGUAACUUUGGAAGGAAAGAAAAAAAUGGAUGGCGUACACAUGGAAGAAAUGGUACAGAAAACAUAAAUCAUCGAGGUGGAUACCAUGGUGGAAGUUCCCGUUCUCGUAGCAGUAUUUUCCAUGCAGGAAAAAGCCAAGGACUACAUGAAAACAACAUACCUGACAAUGAAACCGGGAGGAAAGAAGACAAGAGAGAACGCAAACAGUUUGAAGCUGAGGAUUUUCCGUCUUUAAAUCCUGAGUAUGAGAGAGAACCAAAUCACAAUAAGUCUUUAGCUGCAGGUGUGUGGGAAUAUCCUCCGAAUCCUAAAUCUAGAGCUCCAAGGAUGCUGGUCAUUAAGAAAGGUAAUACAAAAGACUUACAGCUAUCUGGAUUCCCAGUAGUAGGAAAUCUUCCGUCACAGCCAGUUAAGAAUGGAACUGGUCCAAGUGUUUAUAAAGGUUUAGUCCCUAAACCUGCUGCUCCACCUACAAAACCUACACAAUGGAAAAGCC
rnacentral:lncRNA from 1 species